ACAUGCUAAUUCACUUGAACCAUGACAUCUGUGUUAUUCCUCAGAGGUAUAUGUUCAGCAUUAAUAAAUCACAUUAUACGUCGUCUAACGGUGCAUAUUUGCCAUUUCUCAGCACCUGCAGCCAAGAGAGAUGUGGACGAAGUUUGCAUUGUGAGGAGUGACCUGAAAGAGAAGGCCAAAAAGACAGAAACUGUGGCCCAAGGAAAACCUAAGACCACUGCUAAAAAAGGUAAAAUGGGUAACUAA
rnacentral:lncRNA from 1 species